AGGGAUGUAGCUCAGUUGGUAGAGCGCUCAUCUCACAUGCGAGAGGUUCAUUUCUG
rnacentral:tRNA from 1 species